AGCGUAGACGGAGUGGCAAGUCUGAUGUGAAAACCCGGGGGCUCAACCCCGGGACUGCAUUGGAAACUGUCAAUCUAGAGUACCGGAGAGGUAAGCGGAAUUCCUAGUGUAGCGGUGAAAUGCGUAGAUAUUAGGAGGAACACCAGUGGCGAAGGCGGCUUACUGGACGGUAACUGACGUUGAGGCUCGAAAGCGUGGGGAGGCAAAACA
rnacentral:rRNA from 1 species